rnacentral:lncRNA from 1 species
UUGCAUCCUGGCCAUUCUGACUGAAGCAUCUGUGGCUCAAAUGGCCCCAAGUACAGCUCAGAUCACUGCUCUGGAGGCCCAGAUGGCUACAAGCCUGUACAGAAUGUUAUGACACUGUAUACUGGAGGCAACUCUAACACAAUGUACAUGAAUCACUCCUACUAAGAGAUCCUGAAAGAGGUCAUCAAAGCCACCAGAAACUAUUCCUGGACAGAGGAGGUUUUAUAGGUGUGGUUGGUCUCCUUACUGACGUGUCAACUACAAAUGCACAGGGUUCUGCCUGAAAUGUUUUAGUUGUUGCAGAUGUGUAGCUUCUAUAUGUAAAGUCUUCACUGCACGUGCUACAGAAACUUGAACUAUCUGAAGAGAGGAUGGAGUCAUCAGAUACUGGACAGAUCCAGUCAAAAUAUUUGGAUGCUUUCAGAAACAUCUGCCUAGCUGAGAUGUGGGGAAGGAACAUAAAGCAUUUUCUCUCCCAGUCCCUGCUGAAAGGGAACAAGAAGACUAAGCAAUAAGUGAGAAAAGAAAUGAUGGAAUAGAUGUGAGGCUUCCACAGCAAACUCCUGUAAAACCUGCAGUUAAACCUGAGCAAGAGGAAUGUGACAUAUGUGUCUUUGCUCUUUAUUUGGAUCUGUGUGUAUGCUCUUGGAGCAGUGGCGAAGAAGCUCCAGGGUAAUCUAAAAACCAAAAUAAAUGCCUUGAGAUCUUUUCUGGGAAUGAAAAAAUACAAAGACAAGCUAAGAAGCUGGAGCAGGAAAUUGACUUCAAACUCUGCUUGGAGAAUCACCAGCUGCAAAACUGUAUGGGGCAAAUUUCUCAUAAGAGUAUAGAGGAUGUGACACUGUACAGAGUUCACACUCAUGACUCAAUGAUGAAAUGGAAACCAGGAAGACCUGAUUAUGCAUGUCUGUGAAACUCACCCAUGCCAUCUGGAAAGGAAAAAGUUAAGUUGCAUUUCUGCAAUACAUUCUCUCCCUUCCCUGAGCUGCUCCUGGAAUAUAAAGAAAGCAAGUGAGUUGAACUAAUCCUCUUAUAAACAUACUAAUGAUAAAUCUCCCAGUAAAACAACAACAAUAACAAUAAAGGUCUUCUGCUAACAAAAGAGUCUUUUCCUAUGUGAAGUUUUAGUAGAAUGUGCUUAAUUGUCUAGAAUUAUUUAUAGUAAGCAAACAGAAGUAUAUGGACUUACGCAUAAUGGCUCCUUGGAAAAUGUUAUAUUAUAUAUGUAACUCUUUCUGUAGAAAAUAUCUGUCUCCUUUCAUGAAAGUGAG